rnacentral:tRNA from 1 species
UUUGUUAAGAUGUAUAACCACCAUUUAUAGAUCUACAGUCUAUCGCUAUCUCAUAAUUCAGCCAUUAACAA